rnacentral:rRNA from 1 species
CUAGGGCAGGUAAUCGCCAUUAAGCAACGAGCAAAGGUGUAAAUGUAUUAGCACUGGGUAAAAUUUAUACCUAAAUAUGUUUAGUUAAAUAGCUCCUCCUAACCUUGAGAAAUAAACAAGGAUUAGAUACCCUUCUAUACUCAAGACCCUUCAGGCAGGGUAGUAACUAGCUAUGUUCUUCAAACCCAAAGGAUUUGGCGGUUUCUUAUCUAAUUAGAGGAACCUGUACAGUAAUCGAAGUUACACGAUCAAUCUUACCAGAGGGAAGCUUGUAUACCGUCGUCUAGAUAGUCCCAGAAGGGCCUUUCGCUAUGGGUUACAAUAAUGGCAGAUCAAGGUGCAGCUUACUCUGGUUGGUAUGGGUUACAAUCUAGAUAAAGCUGGAUGGCUAGUUUAUAAACAGCUUAAAAUAGGAUUUAACAGUAAUAUAGUUUAGCAAGAGUAUAUAAAGAUGCUAUGAGAUACGUACAUAUCGCCCGUCACUCUCACAUUAAAU